rnacentral:rRNA from 1 species
UCGGGAAUUUUGGGCAAUGGGCGAAAGCCUGACCCAGCAACGCCGCGUGAGGGAUGAAGUAUUUCGGUAUGUAAACCUCGAAAGAAUGGGAAGAAUAAAUGACGGUACCAUUUAUAAGCUCCGGCUAACUACGUGCCAGCAGCCGCGGUAAUACGUAGGGAGCAAGCGUUGUUCGGAUUUACUGGGCGUAAAGGGCGCGUAGGCGGCGCGGUAAGUCACUUGUGAAAUCUCUGAGCUUAACUCAGAACGGCCAAGUGAUACUGCUGUGCUAGAGUGCGGAAGAGGCAACCGGAAUUCUUGGUGUAGCGGUGAAAUGCGUAGAUAUCAAGAGGAACACCUGAGGCGAAGGCGGGUUGCUGGGCCGACACCGACGCUGAUGCGCGAAAGCCAGGGGAGCAAACG